AUGCCUGUGAUGAGAUAACUGACAGCAGCUGUUGGAGUGGGACAGGUACUAGAGGCAGCUUCCAUCAGCCCAGCUGGGCUGGGGCUGCUGCUGGAGCUCUGGGUAUUCAGAGUGGGCUGGCAGCUGGCUGGGUCAGGAGCUGUGCUAGUGCAUGCAGGUACACUUGAAAACAAUCCAAGAAAAUGAUGAGGGUUUGCUUCUGAUGUAAUGACGUAUCCCCCUGACAUCACAGUGAAGAAUGAAUGUUUCUCCCUACAAAAAUCACAGAGCUAUAAGAACACAUUUGGGAGGAAGGAAAGGGGGAAGGAAAAAAGAAAACGAUACACAAACACAUUUGAAAACUACAGCUACUUCAGUGAAAAAGAUCAUUCUGCUCAGGGCUGCUGUUUCAAUAGAGCUCCGUUCUCGGCCUCGUCAUUUAAGUUCCCCAUUUAAUUUAUAUAUAAAAAAUUCAACAGGUUUAAUGUUCCAGUUUCUCAUUCUUUUAAUUAAAAUGGAAAAUAUGCCCCUUUGUGUACCUCUUCAAGUACUGAAGAUUUGAGCCAUCUAAGACAGCUGUAAAGAAGAUUUUGCAGAACUUUGUGUUUCUGUCUUGUUCCUUAAGAUACACUGGACAAAAGAGAGAUGAUAAACUUUAAAUGUUGAAUUUAUUAGAAGCAUAACGAACAAUAAUAAACUUGAUUUUACCAAGGCA